rnacentral:lncRNA from 1 species
UCAGCCGUUUUUUACAUGCUAGAGACCCCAUCAGCUUUCUUCUUCUUCUUCGUGGAAAAACCUAGACAAAAACCCUAAGCUAUCUUCUUCUUCAUCAAACAAAUAUCAGCAACUUCCAUCCCCAUCGUCACUCCAUGGAAGACAAGAAAAAAGCUCUCAUCUCCUACACCUAGGCAGCAGCGACCCUUUCUCCAAAAGACACUAUUCGAGCCGCUGAUGCUUCUUCACCUUGCCCAAAAGAACCAGCAGUCAAUUCCAUCAUUCUUCUUUAGAACACUCCUAAUUCCCAUGCCCUAGAUGUCAUCCCACCAAAACAACUCACCGGAAAAGAACGGUCUCAUCCCCUGAACCUCCAAGUCAGCCAUUCUAAGACUCCUUCCUCUCCAAUCCCUCUCCAGCGUCACCAGUGUUCCACACCACCCCAUCUCCGCCGCAACAUAAAACAGAGGAGAGAAAGGAGCACGAACAGAUUUACACAAAAAUAGUUUUCUUUCUUUUGGAAUUUCGUUUGAACAAUGGAGUUCAUUUAAAGCUCCUGGAGAAUUCGUUUGAAGUUGUCGACUGAGGUUCAAGUUCGUUGUUCCAUUUAGUGUAGGUUCAUUAUGGUGUUUUGGAUGGGCUCGCUGCCAAGAUUUGCAUUCCGGAUUCAUUUGUAUCUUUUCUAAUUGCUUUAAACAUCAACUGAAAGCUUGAUUUUUAGGUUCGUAAUCUGUUUUCCUCGCCUUAUUUAAUUUUGUUAGAUUUUUUUUAUCGGUAUUUUCUUUUGCUUUCAUGCCUAAUGUUUGUGGUUUCAAAUCUGUUUUGUUUGGAGAUAUUUAGAUUGUGAUCUGAUAUGAUUUUGUGUUCGUUGAGUUAGUAUUCGAUUCUGUCGAGUCUUACAUGAAUAUGUCAUAUGUUUGAUUGGUUUUCUUGCUUGAAUUCCAACUGAUUCGAGUUUGAAAUUGUCCUAACUCACUUGUCGAUGUAGAUAUUAGUGAUAAAAUGACUUACUUUUUGUGUUGAUGGAAACAUUAGUGUUGGAAAAACAACCUUUCUGCAAAGAAUAGCUAAUGAGACAUUUGAAUUGCAAGAUCUUGUUGAAAUAGUUCUCGAGCCUAUUGAGAAGUGGCAGGAUAUUGGGCCAGAUCAUUUUAACACAUUAGAUGCAUUCUAUGCUGAGCCCAAAGAUUUGCUUACACAUUUUAGAAUUGUGUUUUCGUUAUGAGAGUUAUGCAAGGGUUUGAUAAGUUAAUUUUUUUCUAUUAAAAGAAAAGGUAAAGGAAGAUGAUAAGAAAGGUUUCUGUUGAAAAUUUCUAUUUUUUUAGUUGGUCUCACUUAGCAGGAUUAAUACGGUGGAGAUUAACUCCUAGUAGGAUUUACAUUUGAGAACAUUUUGAGGUUAGUUUAUUCCUUUCAGAGUAGUAUGUAUAUUUGGAAGAAUUCUGUUCAUUCUUUGCAUUACAUUUUCAUUCGAGAUCUAAAAUUGUUUAAAUUACAUUAAAUGAGUUCUUGUAAGUUUCAUGAAGUAGCAAUAGCUUUGUUUAAUUCUAAUGCUCUCAAAAUAAAUCAAGGUACGCGUUCGUGCAACUUUGGCCAAAUAUUCUUAAAAUUAAUAAAGCGUUAUUAAUUGUGGACACAUACACGUGACAUGAUUUUUGACGCGCCUAACCAAUGGGUACACCUACACAUGACUCGUUUUAGGAUAAUCUUUUAAUUAAAAGAGGCAAAUGUACAUAGGUUCUAAAGUGAGUAAUUAGACAAUUUGAUUACGCCAAGUAUGAUCAAAGCAACCGUGCUAGAACCACAGAACUUGGGAAUGCCUAACACCUUCUCCCGGGUUACAGAAUUCCUUACCCGGAUUUCUGUGUUCGCAGACCGCAAAUAAAAGUCAACUUCCUCGAUUCAAGAUUUUAAACCGGUGACUUGAGACAUCAUAAAUUAUCCCAAGUGGGGACUCUGAAUUCUAAAUAAAAUAAUCUUGUUUCGAUUGUCACUUAAAUUAGAAAAAACUCCCUUAUAUCCCUUUUGUUGGUAGUAAAAAGGAGGUGUGACAGCUUUAGCGACUCUGCUGGGGAUAAGAACCCAGAAUCUCGGGUUCAGGGUUCAAGAAUUUGAGCUUGUUUUUAUGAUUUUUACUUGGCUUUAUAUAUAGUUCAUAUUAUCGUAAUUGUGGACCUAAUGUGCUAAAUGCUUUUUAUUUACUGUUUUUAUAUUAGUUGAACUGUAUUUAAAUGCCUUCUUCUGCCUCCCUUAUGUGUUUUUAAAAUAAUGUUGCACAUGUUCGUGUGACCCACUUUUUAUGCUAGAAGUUAUACCAAAUAGAACGAGG